UACGGAGGAUCCAAGCGUUAUCCGGAUUUAUUGGGUUUAAAGGGUGCGUAGGCGGCCUGUUAAGUCAGGGGUGAAAGACGGUAGCUUAACUAUCGCAGUGCCCUUGAUACUGAUGGGCUUGAAUGAACUAGAGGUAGGCGGAAUGUGACAAGUAGCGGUGAAAUGCAUAGAUAUGUCACAGAACACCAAUUGCGAAGGCAGCUUACUAUGGUUUUAUUGACACUGAUGCACGAAAGCGUGGGGAUCAAACAGG
rnacentral:rRNA from 1 species